rnacentral:rRNA from 1 species
UAGGGAAUCUUCGGCAAUGGGGGGAACCCUGACUGAGCAACGCCGCGUGAGUGAAGAAGGUUUUCGGAUCGUAAAGCUCUGUUGUUAAGGAAGAACGAGUGUGAGAAUGGAAAGUUCAUACUGUGACGGUACUUAACCAGAAAGGGACGGCUAACUACGUGCCAGCAGCCGCGGUAAUACGUAGGUCCCGAGCGUUGUCCGGAUUUAUUGGGCGUAAAGCGAGCGCAGGCGGUUAGAUAAGUCUGAAGUUAAAGGCAGUGGCUCAACCAUUGUAGGCUUUGGAAACUGUUUAACUUGAGUGCAGAAGGGGGGAGUGGAAUUCCAUGUGUAGCGGUGAAAUGCGUAGAUAUAUGGAGGAACACCGGUGGCGAAAGCGGCUCUCUGGUCUGUAACUGACGCUGAGGCUCGAAAGCGUGGGGAGCGAACAGG